rfam:Ailuropoda melanoleuca scaffold718_74, whole genome shotgun sequence.
GGAUAGGAGGGCACUCUGGCGGCGACAUCUGAAACCCCACUGAUCACCAGGGUGGAUCGGGCUGAUCUGGCUGGCUGGGCGGGCGUCGCUGUCCUCCCUCGCCGCUGCACAUGUGUCCCUCCUGAAGCUGCGAGCUCAGUGGAAGAGGACGACCUUCCCCGCAGAGGAGAGCCAUUCUUCGGUCAAGGGUUUACGCGUAGCUGCACUGCCCUGCUACACCCUGCAAACGAGCUCCCAAAGCCCGGCCCAAACGCCCUUUCCUCUGUGAGGCCAGCAGCAGGUACGCUUCCAUGGUGGAUAAGCUCUUCCCCAAGGGUCUGACCGCCCGGCGGGCUCUUCCUU